rnacentral:misc_RNA from 1 species
AACGCACAUUGCGCCCUCUGGUAUUCCGGGGGGCAUGCCUGUUCGAGCGUCAUUACAACCCUCAAGCUCUGCUUGGUAUUGGGUGCCACUUGCUGUAGUGCACCCUAAAAUUAGUGGCUGUACCAUCUGGCUUCUAGCAUAGUAAUAUUUCUUGCUUUGGAGUCUGGGUGUGUUCAUACCAGCAACCCCAAUUUGCAAAGGUUGACCUCGGAUCAGGUAGGGAUACCCGCUGAACUUAA